rnacentral:misc_RNA from 1 species
UUGGCCGGUGGCGCUGGGGACUGCGCGGGAGGAUGCGCGCGCAGGGGCUUGGCUGCCGGAAACAGGGAGCAGCGGCUGAUGCUCCAUGAUUUAAACGGGGAAGAGGCAAGGAAUCGGCUGGAGCUCACUGCGACGAGGGAAUCGACGUCUAGACCGAGCACCAUGGUGGACGACAUCCAUGGCGAGCAGAGCACGGCUUCCAGGGAACUCAGCCGCCAGCAGAGAGAGCCGGAGAGGGACGACCUGGGCGCUCACCAAGGGAGCUCUGCAGGGCGCGGCACAAAUCCAAGGCACGCGAGAGGGAGAGAGCUGCACAGCCGAAGGCUCCAUGGCAGGGGCUGGCCGACGCAAGGGGCUGGGCGCCAUGAAAAAUCCGGCCGAGCAGAGCUCGGAGCUUCGCAGCAAAGGAGAUGGAGCAGGAGCCAAAGACGCAGUGUGAGAGAGAGAGCGCAGGGAGAACGAUGCCGUGGUAAGGAGCCGCUCGGUGGUGAUAUUUGUAGGGAUCCAGCGGCGGCCGGAGAAGAUCUUUUUUCCACCUCCACGCGCGGAUAG